rnacentral:rRNA from 1 species
AUGAUUCGCCUGGAAAUGAAGUUCAGUGCAGUUCCAAGUUUGGUCGAGUGUCUGACCUCCGUCUGCCAUCCACCCUCCCGUGGUUUGUCGUCGCCGACACGCUCCCACAUUCGCCACUGCAGGAAGGAGCAAGACCUCCCACGUCUGACCAACCAGCUGCUAAACAGCUCCGGCUCCUCACAGGCCAACCAGCUGCUAAACAAACUCAACGAUCAUCUGGGCUCUGGGAUGCUCAGGCCGGAGCUCGCGCACCAACUGUUCGACAAAUUGUUCCCUCAAACCGUUCCGGUAUCAGCAGACGCACUCAAUGUCUUAUUUUCUGCCCUCGCGUGUGGGCUGCCCUCCGCCGCCUGCAACGAUGGACCUGCCCUCGCCAUCGCUCUCUUCAAACACAUGGCACGAGCAAGAUGCCGCCAGGUGAUGGCACCCACCAAUCACACUUACAACACACUAAUUGAGUGCUGCCACAUGACGCACCGCCCGGACAUAGGGCCCGCCUUCUUCGGCCUCCUCCUCAAGACAGGCAUCACGGCAGAUGUCUUCACCUUCAACAGCUUAUUGAAGUGCCUCUGUGACAUGAAGCAAUCAGAUGAGGCUCUAGGCAUGCUGCUCCACAGGAUGCCCGGCGACAUGCCUGAUGUCAUCUCCUACUCAGUAAUUAUCAAGAGCUUCUGUGACAACGGGAGGAGCCAACGUGCACUUGACCUGCUCCGGAUGAUGACCAAAAAGGGAUCUGACCACUCCCCCAAUGUGGUUUCAUACACAAUAAUCAUUGGUGGAUUAAUUAAGGAGGGUGAACUAAGCAAAGCAUGCGCUCUAUUCCAUGAAAUGAUGCAGCAGGGGGUUGUGCCUGAUGUGGUGACGUAG